AUUGAACGCUGGCGGCAGGCCUAACACAUGCAAGUCGAACGAGUGGCGGACGGGUGAGUAAUGUCUGGGAAACCGCCUGAUGGAGGGGGAUAACUACUGGAAACGGUUGCUAAUACCGCAUACCAUCAGAUGCGCCCAGAUGGGAUUGGCUAGUUGGUGGGGUAACGGCUCACCAAGGCGACGAUCCCUAGCUGGUCUGAGAGGAUGACGAGCAACACUGGAGGUGGGACGAGGUCCAAAAUCCUACGGGAGGCAGCAGUGGGGAAUAUUGCGCAAUGGGCGCAAACCUGAUGCAGCCAUGCCGCGUGUAUGAAGAAGGCCAUCGGGUUGUGGAGUACUUUCGGCGGGGAGGCGUUACCCGCAGAAGAAGCACCGGCUAACUCCGUGCCAGCCGCCGCGGUAAUAC
rnacentral:rRNA from 1 species